GGGUUGUGAGGUUAAGCGACUAAGCGUACACGGUGGAUGCCCUGGCAGUCAGAGGCGAUGAAGGACGUGCUAAUCUGCGAAAAGCGUCGGUAAGGUGAUAUGAACCGUUAUAACCGGCGAUGUCCGAAUGGGGAAACCCAGUGCAAUUCGUUGCACUAUCGUUAACUGAAUACAUAGGUUAACGAGGCGAACCGGGGGAACUGAAACAUCUAAGUACCCCGAGGAAAAGAAAUCAACCGAGAUUCCCCCAGUAGCGGCGAGCGAACGGGGAGCAGCCCAGAGUCUGAAUCAGCUUGUGUGUUAGUGGAACGGUCUGGAAAGUCCGACGGUACAGGGUGAUAGUCCCGUACACCAAAAUGCACAGGUUGUGAACUCGAAGAGUAGGGCGGGACACGUGGUAUCCUGUCUGAAUAUGGGGGGACCAUCCUCCAAGGCUAAAUACUCCUGACUGACCGAUAGUGAACCAGUACCGUGAGGGAAAGGCGAAAAGAACCCCGGCGAGGGGAGUGAAAAAGAACCUGAAACCGUGUACGUACAAGCAGUGGGAGCACCUUCGGGUGUGACUGCGUACCUUUUGUAUAAUGGGUCAGCGACUUAUAUUCUGUAGCAAGGUUAACCGUAUAGGGGAGCCGCAGGGAAACCGAGUCUUAACUGGGCGUUAAGUUGCAGGGUAUAGACCCGAAACCCGGUGAUCUAGCCAUGGGCAGGUUGAAGGUUGGGUAACACUAACUGGAGGACCGAACCGACUAAUGUUGAAAAAUUAGCGGAUGACUUGUGGCUGGGGGUGAAAGGCCAAUCAAACCGGGAGAUAGCUGGUUCUCCCCGAAAGCUAUUUAGGUAGCGCCUCGUGAAUUCAUCUUCGGGGGUAGAGCACUGUUUCGGCUAGGGGGUCAUCCCGACUUACCAACCCGAUGCAAACUACGAAUACCGAAGAAUGUUAUCACGGGAGACACACGGCGGGUGCUAACGUCCGUCGUGAAGAGGGAAACAACCCAGACCGCCAGCUAAGGUCCCAAAGUCAUGGUUAAGUGGGAAACGAUGUGGGAAGGCACAGACAGCGGGAUGUUGGCUUAGAAGCAGCCAUCAUUUAAAGAAAGCGUAAUAGCUCACUGGUCGAGUCGGCCUGCGCGGAAGAUGUAACGGGGCUAAACCAUGCACCGAAGCUGCGGCAGCGACACUAUGUGUUGUUGGGUAGGGGAGCGUUCUGUAAGCCUGCGAAGGUGACCUGUGAGGGUUGCUGGAGGUAUCAGAAGUGCGAAUGCUGACAUAAGUAACGAUAAAGCGGGUGAAAAGCCCGCUCGCCGGAAGACCAAGGGUUCCUGUCCAACGUUAAUCGGGGCAGGGUGAGUCGACCCCUAAGGCGAGGCCGAAAGGCGUAGUCGAUGGGAAACAGGUUAAUAUUCCUGUACUUGGUGUUACUGCGAAGGGGGGACGGAGAAGGCUAUGUUAGCCGGGCGACGGUUGUCCCGGUUUAAGCAUGUAGGCUGGUUAUCCAGGCAAAUCCGGAUAAUCAAGGCUGAGGUGUGAUGACGAGGCACUACGGUGCUGAAGUAACAAAUGCCCUGCUUCCAGGAAAAGCCUCUAAGCAUCAGGUAACAUCAAAUCGUACCCCAAACCGACACAGGUGGUCAGGUAGAGAAUACCAAGGCGCUUGAGAGAACUCGGGUGAAGGAACUAGGCAAAAUGGUGCCGUAACUUCGGGAGAAGGCACGCUGGUGUGUAGGUGAAGUCCCUGCGGAUGGAGCUGAGACCAGUCGAAGAUACCAGCUGGCUGCAACUGUUUAUUAAAAACACAGCACUGUGCAAACACGAAAGUGGACGUAUACGGUGUGACGCCUGCCCGGUGCCGGAAGGUUAAUUGAUGGGGUUAUCCGUAAGGAGAAGCUCUUGAUCGAAGCCCCGGUAAACGGCGGCCGUAACUAUAACGGUCCUAAGGUAGCGAAAUUCCUUGUCGGGUAAGUUCCGACCUGCACGAAUGGCGUAAUGAUGGCCAGGCUGUCUCCACCCGAGACUCAGUGAAAUUGAACUCGCUGUGAAGAUGCAGUGUACCCGCGGCAAGACGGAAAGACCCCGUGAACCUUUACUAUAGCUUGACACUGAACAUUGAGCCUUGAUGUGUAGGAUAGGUGGGAGGCUUUGAAGCGUGGACGCCAGUCUGCGUGGAGCCAACCUUGAAAUACCACCCUUUAAUGUUUGAUGUUCUAACGUUGGCCCCUUACCGGGGUUGCGGACAGUGUCUGGUGGGUAGUUUGACUGGGGCGGUCUCCUCCCAAAGCGUAACGGAGGAGCACGAAGGUUAGCUAAUCUGGUCGGACAUCAGGAGGUUAGUGCAAUGGCAUAAGCUAGCUUGACUGCGAGCGUGACGGCGCGAGCAGGUGCGAAAGCAGGUCAUAGUGAUCCGGUGGUUCUGAAUGGAAGGGCCAUCGCUCAACGGAUAAAAGGUACUCCGGGGAUAACAGGCUGAUACCGCCCAAGAGUUCAUAUCGACGGCGGUGUUUGGCACCUCGAUGUCGGCUCAUCACAUCCUGGGGCUGAAGUAGGUCCCAAGGGUAUGGCUGUUCGCCAUUUAAAGUGGUACGCGAGCUGGGUUUAGAACGUCGUGAGACAGUUCGGUCCCUAUCUGCCGUGGGCGCUGGAGAAUUGAGGGGCUGCUCCUAGUACGAGAGGACCGGAGUGGACGCAUCACUGGUGUUCGGGUUGUCAUGCCAAUGGCACUGCCCGGUAGCUAAAUGCGGAAGAGAUAAGUGCUGAAAGCAUCUAAGCACGAAACUUGCCCCGAGAUGAGUUCUCCCUGAGACUUUAAGUCUCCUGAAGGAACGUUAAAGACGAUGACGUUGAUAGGCCGGGUGUGUAAGCGCAGCGAUGCGUUGAGCUAACCGGUACUAAUGAACCGUGAGGCUUAACCUUACAACGCCGAAG
rnacentral:rRNA from 1 species